CGACGGUGCAAACACCUCCCCUGUGGCCACUGUGCCACAUGACAGGACAUCAAGUCCUGGAAAUAAGCUGCUCUAACAGCCGUUUUUGUUGGGAGCUAUCGUCUGCAGCCAGGCUAGGCCAGCACCUGGGCUGCUCUAACAGCACCUGGGCUGGCAGCAGGGUGGGUCCCCAGAAAAGGACACAGCCGUCCCAAAGAUGCCAUAAAGCCACGACCAUCACACAAUGACCCAGGGAAGACUCUGGAGCCGAGGGCCACUAGGGGUACGGGGGCACCCCAUAAGCACAUCCCAGGGCCGGGUGGACGCCGCUCUCUGCCUGCCCAGCAGCCCCCGCACUUUCCUAAAGCACGGCUUCCCCAAUAUCAUCCCUCAGAAGCCACGGUGACUACCACUGAAUCAAGUGGGCUUCGGGACCACCACAUACCUGACUCACAAGCAGAUGUGAGCGCACUCUUAGGAAGAAGAAGCGGGCACCCUGUGCUCUCAGAACCCAGGGUUUUUGAUAUAAACGGCAGCCCUUCUGCGUUUAAGGCACGGAACUUCCUGCUCUUCUCCUCACCCCACACCUUCAUCCAUUUUUAGAAAGUAACUCAGUUCCAGCCGGGCGCAGUGGCUCACACCUGUAAUCCCAGCACUUUGAGAGGCUGAGGCAGGCGGAUCAUGAGGUCAGGAGUUCGAGACCAACCUGGCCAAUAUGAUGAAACCCCGUCUCUACUAAAAAUACAAAAAUUAGCCGGGUGUGCUGGUGCCUGCCUGUAGUCCCAGCUACUCGGAAGGCUGAGGCAGCAGAAUCGCAUGAACCCAGGAGGUGGAGGUUGCAGUGAGCUGAGAUCGCACCGCUGCACUCCAGCCUGGGCAACAGAGUGAGACUCCGUCUCAAAAAAAACAAAAGAAAGUAACUCAGAUCCCUGAGAGUGGAAAAGACACAACCACUUUUUCUUUUUUUCCAGAGGAGUAAAAAUAACUGCACUGAGUUGACGUGUUGGUGCUGGAAGUCGCCACAACAAAAUGAGUAUUUCCAGAGGGGAAAUAGACAUUUCUGAGUUAGACAAAUCCCUUGCAGUUCAUCGACAGCACAUGAUGAAAGCUGGCUGCAGAUCCAGGGAGCAGGAAGCCACUCUGCAGCAAGACGUCUGCCACGUGGUAUCGGCCAGGCUCACUGCAGCACUUGAGCGCCCACAGGGCUCCCGACGCUGAGCUAGGGACGCCCCCG
rnacentral:lncRNA from 10 species